rnacentral:misc_RNA from 1 species
CGUGAAGAUACCAAUUAUACACACUUUUUCCCUCAUGACCCCCUAUAUAGCCAUAUGAUGCGGUCAACAUGCCUCCUUCAGCAUAAUCCCCAGUAAUAGACAAAAAAUUUAGGCUUGGGGGAAGAGUUUCAACUGCUCUUUCAGAUACAGCAUAUACCGGUUCACCAGAUUCGCCAUCUGGAGUCAUAGGUGUAUAUUUCGCAACAAUGUAAUAGCCAACUGCUCCUAAAGGGAUGCGAAAUGCCUU